UGUGAUCAAAUCCAAUCACAGGUAUUCAGUCCUCACCUCCAGCAACACCUUGCAGAGAGGGACACAGUCAUCGGAGAGUGGCAGCUAUCUCAUCGAAGGAAGGUCUACGCUGGCUAUUUUUUCCUGUACUAAUAAUUUUUCGGGUCCCAGACAUACUAUUUGUCCCUCACGAACUCCAACAUCUUCCUCUCUGCCUCUGUACACCCACAUGAUCAAACCUUCCGUGUCGUCGCAAUGUAAACAAAGCCGCUAGCGGCUGGAAAAGACCAACAUGUCGAUCCUGUUUUGCGGCUGGUUUCUCCACCCGCUAGGCAUCGAUAUCCAGCCGAAAGCUCUAGCAGCUGACAGUUUCAGCCGCAUAUUGACACGUGUGAACCCGCCUUUAGCAUACUAUAGAUGGCAUAAAGAAUCUCUCUCUCUCUCUCUCUCUCCACAACUCAGGCAGGCUCGAAGGGAGGGCAAGGUGCUUCAGGCUUCACCCGAGUAAACGAAGCCUCGAUAAUGAUUGAACUGGUCAAACCAACGGAAGGAGGAGCCGGCAGUAGUAGUGGUGGUGUUGUGAGUGCUGGAGGUAAUGUUUGCGUUAUUACACUAGCUAUGUUCGUACGGCUGUCUCUGUUAUUGGUGCCUGGGUCAGAGCGGCGUCUUCAGAUAUCGAGAGCCGACCUAGUGGCAGUUCACAGCGAGGAUUAAAGAUGAAACAGUGAGUCACCAGGAAAGAAAGGUAAGCUGGAGUGACUGUGGACCCGCUUGUCAGUAGAAGUUGGUACCAUACAAAGCAGGCGGAGUUGCACGCACCUUUGCUUUAAUAAGUCUUCAAAAUUGCAAGAAGUUUAAAGAUUUCACCGCACCGAAGUAAGGCAGCUGAGACCGUUUUGCUGGCUGUUUGGGGGCACUCAGAAUACAGAUGCUAAUUUGUAUACCGAAUAGAAAAUAUGAAGAGAUGACAUCGCCAGGAUUAGGACUUGGAUUAAUUCAUGAAGGACAACAAUGACUUCCUUUGGACUAGACUCAGACAACUUAUCACUAUCGUAUUCAUGACUGUUGAGAAUUCUGUGACAUCACAUCCGCUCGAAAUACGUGAAGACCACAUUUCUUUCCGGCCGCUAUCAUGAGUCGGGUUGUAUAAGGAGCUAGUGCUUGGUUCUGUUGAGUUCUUGUAAGUGCAGCCACGAGGACAGUCUUUCCUGAGAGCUUGUGCAGGGAAUCACUAAGGCUGCCAACUCUUAUUACUCUUGAAAUUGUGAUCGUCUUGUGUGACGGCUGUGAUGGUCUGAGUCUGGGAAUUAUGCGAAUGAAAAGAUGUAAGUUUCUAGGUAGUGGAGAAGGUGGUUUUAGGUAGCGUGUGAUUGAAAGAGUAAAAGAUUAAAUAACUGGCAUUGUUCUGUUGUACUAUGAAAUUAUAGGAGUGAAAAGAUAUGAUUACUGAUACGGUGGUCAAAGAAGAUUCUGGGCAAUGUAUAAUUGAAAUAAAGUAAGGUGAAAUAGCUUACACUGUCUCCCUCGAAGCUGAAUGAUGAUUGUGAUCGUGUGAAAAUUAAAGAAAUGGAAGGAAGAUUUUGAGUUAGGUAUAACCAUCAAUGAAGAAUGAGAGACAAGAUGAAAGGGGCAAUUUUCUCACGUUGAAUGUCAUGUGAUCUCAAUUUUCAGACCUGGAAUAUAAUCAUCUCAUGUGUAUUCUCUUUGUCUUAACUUUUAAAACGAGAGAUCUAACGGGAAGGACAGAUAUUGUAUUAACCCUUUCAGUAUAAUGUGCAACAAUUCCCAGCGGUAGAAGAAACGUAUGACAUGUCUUUAUGCAUCUACAAAAAUAUAAAUACACAAUAAAAAAAGAAAAAGCUUGAGAUUUCUAGCCAAUACAAUGUUUGAAAGUGACCAUAUAGGAGAAAGUAGAUGCCUGAGUGGUCUAGUGGCGAAGGAGACACGUGACAAACAACAGGGAAAGAGUUACGUGACAAUAGUAUACUCUCAAUUUACGUGUUACUCGACUUAACUAUUACAGAAGACAACGAUGAUGAAACGAUGAUGAUGAAGGUGAGUUGACGUUACUCAUUAAAGUGUUUACAGAUUGUGGUGGAGAGAAAAAAUAAGAACGAAAAGGGUAAGAGGCAAUCAAGGGGAGAGAAAAAUACUGUAAAACGCAGUCAGGG